GCAAACUCUCUCUCCUCCCGCCGCCGCCCCUCCUAUGUAGGGCGGCGCGCCGCGUCUGCCGACACCCCGGCGUGGGGAAGCGACGUCCACCUCCAGAUCUGGCACGAGGGCGCGCCGACGGGCCGAGCUCGGCCGCGGCGACGACGCGGCGGCGAGCGCAGCGUGCUUGCCUCCCUCCGGCUCCCCCUGCCUCUCCUCGUCCUCAGCGCCCUGCUCCUGCUCGCGGCCGCCGCAUUCUCCGCUGCCGCCGCCGCCGACACCGCCGCACGGCGCGAGGCCCGCACGGGGAAGCAAGAGGCCCAGGCCCAGGCGACGGCAGAGAUGCGCGGGACCAGAUGGCCAUGCCGAGGCAGGCGGCGCAGGGCAAUGCGACGCCGCUUGACGCGCCGCCCACCGGAUCUAUCUGCUCAGCCGCAAGCGUCAUUCCCCCUCGCCUCCCUUUGCCGGCGACCGUGUCUGGGCUCAAGUAGUUUGCAAGCCGCCAGCGUCGUUCCCCCUUGCCUUUGCCACUCGCGGCUCCCUUCGCUAGCGACCUCGUCCGAGCUCAAGUAGUCUGCGCACCGAGGGUAUGGAGCAGGGGCCAAACAGCUUGUCGAGCUGCAGUGCCUCGUCGGCAGCGCUGCAACCAGACGGGCAAUACGCGGCUGCUGGUUGCACUGCUGCACCAGGAUGGGCCCCAGACACUGGUUCCAAACGAGCACGUACCUCUCCCCUUCUACUGCCUCAAGGAAGAAGGGCCCUCCAUGACUCCAUCUAAUCUGAUGUUCUGAACUACCAUCGCCGAUUUAGCUAUGCCCAUCCCCACAACCAGGAGUAGCGAGAUCCCAAAUAUCAGAAAUCAACAAGUCAACCAGACACAAGGAGAGAAAAAGGAAAAUAAAGCCUUACCAGGCCAAUCUACAGCUUCCAUCAGCAAAACUUUUGAAGAAACUGAUGAUCAUAUUACACGUUCAAGUAACAAGCUGCAAGGCUAGCCGAUUGUCAAUAGCAAGCAAAACAUCCUUGCAAACCUGCACGAUCUCAUUCUUCGUGGGCUACAUUAGGAUUUUCAGAGUAUGUUCUGUUGUGGUCAACCAACAGAAAUGCCUCGUAGGAGCUAUACCACGUUACUUGCUUGGACCACGACAUGGGAGAGAAUGGACUGAGGGGCAAAUUGUUCGAGAUUAUGGAAUAUUUCUUUCUCAAUAAUUCCAAUCAACCCAAAUUUAAUUUUGUUACUAUCGACAGAUAUGUAUCCAAGCUCAUGGUAUUCAUGCUGGCCAAUCAAAGGCCGAAGCGCGGCAACGCCGCGCGUUGAUUCUAGUAUAUAGACCGAAUGUUGACAGAGA